rnacentral:rRNA from 1 species
UCGCAGUGACACCCGCCGCGUGAGGGAGAGGCCUCUGGGCUGUAACCUCUUUUCUCAAGGAAGAAGAUCUGACGGUACUUGAGGAAUAAGCCACGGCUAAUUCCGUGCCAGCAGCCGCGGUAAUACGGGAGUGGCAAGCGUUAUCCGGAAUCAUUGGGCGUAAAGCGUCCGCAGGCGGCCUUGUAAGUCUGUCGUUAAAGCGUGGAGCUUAACUCCAUUUCAGCGAUGGAAACUACAAGGCUUGAGUGUGGUAGGGGCAGAGGGAAUUCCCGGUGUAGCGGUGAAAUGCGUAGAUAUCGGGAAGAACACCAGUGGCGAAGGCGCUCUGCUGGGCCAUAACUGACGCUCAUGGACGAAAGCCAGGGGAGCGAAAGGGAUUAGAUACCCCCUGUAGUCA